rnacentral:rRNA from 1 species
CUACGGGUUGCUGCAGUGGGGGAUAUUGCACAAUGGGCGAAAGCCUGAUGCAGCAACGCCGCGUGAAGGAAGACGGUUUUCGGAUUGUAAACUUCUAUCAGCUGGGAAGAAAAUGACGGUACCAGACUGAGAAGCCCCGGCUAACUAUGUGCCAGCAGCCGCGGUAAUACAUAGGGGGCAAGCGUUAUCCGGAAUUACUGGGUGUAAAGGGUACGUAGGCGGCUGAUCAAGUCAGAUGUGAAAGCCCGGAGCUCAACUCCGGGAUUGCAUUUGAAACUGGUCGGCUAGAGUGCAGGAGAGGAAAGUGGAAUUCCUAGUGUAGCGGUGAAAUGCGUAGAUAUUAGGAAGAACACCAGUGGCGAAGGCGGCUUUCUGGACUGUAACUGACGCUGAGGUACGAAAGCGUGGGGAGCGAACAGGAUUAGAUACCCCUGUAGUC